UCGGCACCCGUAUUAUCGUUGUUGGCCCCGCCGCGCACGCGCGGCGCAGGCUGCCCGGAGCGCAGAUUCCGAUGGCCGCCGUCCACCUCCGCCCUCUCCACUCGCUGGCUCUCCCUCCCCCGCUCCCUCUCCCUCUCCUCGCAGCCAAGGCCACAGCAAAUCCCGGCUGCGCGGUGAGAAGAAGCCGCCACCGCCACCGCCACCGCGGCGGUGGCCUCGCCCUGCUCGUCUGCGCCGCUUCCGGGUCCGGCCCCAGCAAGGCCGCGCGUUCGUCGUCAGCGGGGCAGGGCGAGGCGGGGGAUGCGGUCGCCAGGUGGGCGGCGUGGAUCCCGCGUGCCGCGAUGUUAGGGGCCGGCCCGGAGCAGGUCCUCAGGCUCAUCUCCGGCGCCGCGGCCACGCCCAUCUGCCAGUUCGUGGACUCGCCCCGCACCUUCCUGCACUCCAUCGACCCCCGCGUUAAGCUGGUUUGGCUAUUGGCUCUUGUUGUCCUACCAGCCAGAUCAAAUAUUUACAUGCGGUUUGGUUUAGUAGCGUACCUUACUCUCCUUUCCAUGUGGGUUCUCCCAAACCAAGUUUGGAAGGACCAACUUGGAAGGGUCGCUCUACUUUCAGGCAUCAUAUUCAUAAUGCUGGGAUUUGGUUCUGAUGGUGCUCCUUCAUUAGUCCAGACAAGAACUCCUCCCCCAUCUGUUAUAGGUUUGCCGAACAUUCCUGGCUCCACAAGUGGCUAUUCUUACACAAUUAUGAAACUGGGUCCACUGCAAUUUACAAGGAAAGGCUUAUCUGUAGCUAGUACGUCAGCAUGCCUCUCAUUUUCGAUAUUCCAAAGUGCAAGUCUCUGCUUGACAACAACUACUCCUGAGCAGCUUGCUUCUGCUUUGUGGUGGUUUAUGAUUCCACUGAAGCAUAUUGGUGUACCAGUACCUGAGAUAAUACUUACACUGCUACUAUCUUUGAGGUUCAUUAACCUAGUAUUUGAUGAGGUUCGCAAUUCAGCACUGGCGAUUGUAGCACGUCGGAUAAAUUGGAAAAAGCUCGCAACUAUGGAGACUAUUGAUAUUUUCUUCAACUAUGUCCGGCGAAUUUUCAAAAACAUAUUUGAUCAUGCAGAGCAAAUAUCCAAGGCCAUGAUUGCUCGGGGAUUUCGUGGUGACCCUAACAACCACAAGAUCUACUUUCUUACAGAAUCUUCUUUCGGCAUUGUGGAUGUCUUUUCAUUACUUUGCCUAUUUGCUUUAAUGGCUCUCGCUUCUAUUUCAGAUAAAUUGGUUUGAUGACCCACUGGAGAAACAUUAAUUGGAAAUGGACCCUAGCUCGGUGUCGUUGAUGAUGGCGUGGAGGUCCUAUUGCCCAACACCAAAAAGUGUGGCGUUGACCUAGGUUCACCUAGUCAACAAACGAGGAGGUGGAUGCUGACAUGGCAGGGGGGUUGGCGUCAGCCUACACGACGUUGAGCUAGUACUUAGCCCUUUUAUUGCCCUUGCUCGGAAGGAAGACUUAAGUUUUUAAUCUCCUGGAAGACUGUUAUGUUUUUAAUCUCCUGGUUCUAACUUCUAUGCAGGCGAGUUAGGCGCAAUGUCAUGUGCUGGAUGUUAUGCGAGUGCAUUGAGCGUUAGUGCACAAUCAAAGUAUUCAUUGUCCUCAUUAGGGAGGUGCUGUAAAGAACAAGAUGGAAUGAAGAGUUCAUGCUAACGUGAAAAGAUAGGUUUACUACCUUUCGUAGCCUUUUCUUUUCUUCGUUUUAUUUUUUUUGGAGGAUGCAUUUCAGAGCAUUGAACGUGUAAAUAAUUGCAAGGCAGUGUACUAAAUUGUACAAUCCGAAAAAAGUCAGCUUGAUUGGUUAAAUGCCUGCUUUGAAUCCCAUAAUACAGGCUCCAUAUUUGAACACUAGAAUUCAUCAUAAUAUUCCUUUU